UACGUAGGGUGCAAGCGUUAAUCGGAAUUACUGGGCGUAAAGCGUGCGCAGGCGGCUAUGCAAGACAGAUGUGAAAUCCCCGGGCUUAACCUGGGAACUGCAUUUGUGACUGCAUUGCUGGAGUGCGGCAGAGGGGGAUGGAAUUCCGCGUGUAGCAGUGAAAUGCGUAGAUAUGCGGAGGAACACCAACGGCGAAAGCACUCUGCUGGGCCGACACUGACACUGAGAGACGAAAGCUAGGGGAGCGAAUGGAUGAUAACCGUAACC
rnacentral:rRNA from 1 species